GGCGAAAGCCUGAUGCAGCAACGCCGCGUGAAGGAAGAAGGGUUUCGGCUCGUAAACUUCUAUCAACAGGGACGAAAAAAAUGACGGUACCUGAAUAAGAAGCCCCGGCUAACUACGUGCCAGCAGCCGCGGUAAUACGUAGGGGGCAAGCGUUAUCCGGAAUUACUGGGUGUAAAGGGAGAGUAGGCGGCAUGGUAAGUUAGAUGUGAAAGCCCGAGGCUUAACCUCGGGAUUGCAUUUAAAACUAUCAAGCUAGAGUACAGGAGAGGUAAGUGGAAUUCCUAGUGUAGCGGUGAAAUGCGUAGAUAUUAGGAAGAACACCAGUGGCGAAGGCGACUUACUGGACUGAAACUGACGCUGAGGCUCGAAAGCGUGGGGAGCGAACAGGAUUAGAUACCCUGGUAGUCCACGCUGUAAACGAUGAGUGCUAGGUGUCGGGGGGGAACCCUCGGUGCCGCAGCUAACGCAAUAAGCACUCCACCUGGGGAGU
rnacentral:rRNA from 1 species